rnacentral:rRNA from 1 species
CGCGAGUGAAAGGGGAAGAGCCCAGCGCUGAAUCUAUVGGUCUUAGGCCGCUGAGAACUGUAGCGUAUAGGUGUGACUGUCCUGCUAUAUUGCAUUUCCGAAGUCUCUUUGAUAGGGGCCAACAUCCAGAGAGGGUGCGAGACCUGUACGGAAAGUAGUAUAGUUGGUAUGGUUACUCCUUGGAGUCGGGUUGCUUGAAAGUGCAGCCUAAAGUUGGUGAUAAACUUCAUCUAAGGCUAAAUAUCGACGCGAAAUCGAUAGCAAACAAGUACCGUGAGGGAAAGUUGCAAAGAACUUUGAAGAGAGAGUUCAAGAGAACGUGAAAUCGCUGAAGUGGAACCGGAGAGAGUUAACAUAACUUGGUAGCUAUAUCCUCUAAAGUCGCUUAACUGUGGCUCUGGGGGGUGGACGCUACCUGUUGUUGCACUGACUGCGUUGAUUGUGCUUUCCGAACAGUAUAGUGUUGCCCACUUUGUGGUGUCUUGCUUUCUGGGAGGUUUGUCAUAAUUAACGUAAAGCCAAUUCCCUUUGGAGUCAGUGUGAAAGUUAACCACCUUUCCGACCCGUCUUGAAACACGGACCGAGGAGUGUAAUUUAUACGCGAGUCAAGGGGUGGUGAAAACCCUAGGGGCGGAAUGAAAGUAAAGGCCGGUUAACCGGUUGACAUGGGAUCCGCUCUUCGGAGCGGCGCACCAUGGCCCUGUCUUGUCUGCUUGCAGAUGGGCAGCGGUAGAGCGUAUAGUUUGCGACCCGAAAGAUGGUGAACUAUGCUUGAGCAGGACGAAGCCAGAGGAAACUCUGGUGGAAGUCCGUAUCGGUUCUGACGUGCAAAUCGAUCGAUAGACUUGGGUAUAGGGGCGAAAGACUAAUCGAACCGUCNAGUAGCUGGUUCCCUCCGAA